rnacentral:rRNA from 1 species
AGCAGCCGCGGUAAUUCCAGCUCCAAUAGCGUAUAUUAAAGUUGUUGCAGUUGAAAAGCUCGUAGUUGAAUUUCGGGGUCAGUAGGUUGGUCGUGCCACCGGUACGUACUGGUCUCACUGAUUCCUCCUUCCUGAAGAACCGUAAUGCCAUUAAUUUGGUGUUGCGGGGAAACAGGACUGUUACUUUGAAAAAUUAGAGUGUUUAAAGCAGGCUAACGCUUGAAUACAUUAGCAUGGAAUAAUGAAGUAGGACGAUCGGUCCUAUUUUGUUGGUUUCUAAGAUUGACGUAAUGAUUAAUAGGGAUAGUUGGGGGCAUUAGUAUUCAAUUGUCAGAGGUGAAAUUCUUGGAUUUAUUGAAGACUAACUACUGCGAAAGCAUUUGCCAAGGAUGUUUUCAUUAAUCAAGAACGGAAGUUAGGGGACCGAAGACGAUCAGAUACCGUCGUAGUCUUAACCAUAAACUAUGCCGACUAGGGAUCGGAUGAUGUUAAUUUUAUAAUGACUCAUUCGGCGCCUUAC